rnacentral:rRNA from 1 species
AUUGAACGCUGGCGGCAUGCCUUACACAUGCAAGUCGAACGGCAGCAUGAUCUAGCUUGCUAGAUUGAUGGCGAGUGGCGAACGGGUGAGUAAUACAUCGGAACGUGCCCUGUAGUGGGGGAUAACUAGUCGAAAGAUUAGCUAAUACCGCAUACGACCUGAGGGUGAAAGUGGGGGACCGCAAGGCCUCAUGCUAUAGGAGCGGCCGAUGUCUGAUUAGCUAGUUGGUGAGGUAAAGGCUCACCAAGGCGACGAUCAGUAGCUGGUCUGAGAGGACGAUCAGCCACACUGGGACUGAGACACGGCCCAGACUCCUACGGGAGGCAGCAGUGGGGAAUUUUGGACAAUGGGCGAAAGCCUGAUCCAGCAAUGCCGCGUGUGUGAAGAAGGCCUUCGGGUUGUAAAGCACUUUUGUCCGGAAAGAAAAGGCUCUGGUUAAUACCUGGGGUCGAUGACGGUACCGGAAGAAUAAGGACCGGCUAACUACGUG